rnacentral:rRNA from 1 species
GUAAGGAAUAUUGGUCAAUGGAGGCAACUCUGAACCAGCCAUGCCGCGUGCAGGAAGACGGCCCUACGGGUUGUAAACUGCUUUUGUACCGGAAUAAACCUUGAUACGUGUAUCGAGCUGAAUGUACGGUAAGAAUAAGGAUCGGCUAACUCCGUGCCAGCAGCCGCGGUAAUACGGAGGAUCCAAGCGUUAUCCGGAUUUAUUGGGUUUAAAGGGUGCGUAGGCGGCUUGUUAAGUCAGGGGUGAAAGGCGGUAGCUUAACUAUCGGAGUGCCCUUGAUACUGAUGAGCUUGAAUGCAGCUGAGGUAGGCGGAAUGUGACAAGUAGCGGUGAAAUGCAUAGAUAUGUCACAGAACACCGAUUGCGAAGGCAGCUUACUAAAGUGCGAUUGACGCUGAGGCACGAAAGCGUGGGGAUCAAACAGGAUUAGAAACCCUGGUAGUCC